GCUGGCAGAUGCUGCCAGCUAGGUUCUAAUGCUGAGCUUUAUUAGCUGGGUGGUUCGGGGAGGGGCAUCUGUGACCAGUCUGCCCGGUUAACGCUGCCCUAAUCCAGCCAAGAGGGAAGCUUGGAAACUCCCCCUCUUUCCCCGAGAAGGCGGUUCAGCAGCAAAGCGUGGGCUCCUCCGAGAAGGGGGGAGCACAACAGAAGGAGGCACCGGGCGCCCGGCAGGGGCAGUGAGAGGCCUGGCUUGCUGGGUCCAGCGCAGACAGGCUGAGCGAGGCCGCCCUCCCCAGGGGCCUUCUCAGGCCUGGCCCUACCUGGCCCUCAGAACCUCAACCUCCCCCAGGCAGGCCUCCCGCCUCCAGGCCUCCCCUAGAUGCCUCCCCCAGACAGGCUGGCCGCACAGCAGCACAAAAGGUCAGCGGACGUGGUCUCUGUUUCCCGCUGCGCCACCAGGCCCGGCCCUGAAUUGCACAGACGCUCUGGGGGCUGCGUCCUGCGCCGAGUGCUGGUACGCAGGGGGUGGGGGGGGACACAUGGGGACGUGGCACCUGCAGGCAGAUGUCUUGCGGGCCAGGCUUCCCAGACCCUCCGUAACAGGCGUCGCUGCAUUUUCGAGUCCUCUGUACACCUUGCUCCUGGCUGACCCAGAAGUGACCCCCUUCAUUCUUGGCUCUGGCCUUACUCUUUGGGGCUGGGGUUGGACCUCUCUUCCAGGAGGCCUUCCUGGGCCCCGCCAGCCCUGGAGGCCCAGCUCAGGGCAUAACAAUGACCACAGUGACUCACAAAGCCCCCACCUCAGCCCCUUUGUGGGGAAAAUGGGAACGUCUCAGGAGCCCAUGAGCUAAAUGUGUGCAAAACGCUGCCGUAGACAGCAGUUCUUUGGAAAUGCCAAAGUGCUUUGAGAUCCAGAAAGCACGUCACUAACCCCGGCAGCCAACCUCCAAGAUGGCCUCCAGAGACCCUCCCUGCUGGUAUUUACGACCUCAUACAGCCUCUUCCGACUCUGAGUGGCCUGGGCGACGACAGGAUAGUGUGGAAAAGGCAGAGGGUGACUUCCCAGUGAGGCCACAAGGGGCAGGGACUUCCUCCUUGUGCCCGUGGGCCACCCAUCCUGUCAUGAAGAUGCUCAAGUAGCCCAUGGACACGGCCAGGUGAGAGGAGCUGGGGCCCAGCCAGCAGUGGCCGGUACUGAUGCGUGGGCCGCCUUGAAGGAGGGGAUCCUCUGCCCCAGAAAGCUCUGCUCUUGCAAAAGAAAUCCUCUGCGCUUUCAGAAUAUUGCCUCUGCUGUGAGUUUUUAAAAAUUCAUCCAGAAAGUCAA